rnacentral:rRNA from 1 species
AUUGAACGCUGACGGCAGGCCUAACACAUGCAAGUCGAGCGAGCGGCGGACGGGUGAGUAAGGUAUAGAGAUCUUCCUGAUUGCGGGGGCUUACUACUGUAAACGGUAGCUAAUCCCGCAUACCAUCAGAUGACCCCAUAUGGGUUGAGCUUGUGGGGGAGGUAACGGCUCACCUAGGCGACGACCCCUAGCUGGUCUGAGAGGAUGAUCAGCCACACUGGGACUGGGACACGGCCCAGACUCCUACGGGAGGCAGCAGUGGGGAAUAUUGCACAAUGGGCGAAAGCUUGAUGCAGCCAUGCCGCGUGUAUGAAGAAGGCCUUCGGGUUGUAAAGUACUUUCAGUCGGGAGGCGUUACCGACAGAAGAAGCACCGGCUAACUCCGUGCCAGCAGCCGCGGUAAUUC